rnacentral:other from 1 species
GUUUCCCUGCGGCGUUCGUUCCGGUUCGAUAUUCUUUGAACCAAUAUAUUGCCCUAGGUUGUAUGGCUGGCCGCGCCUGUUGUGCGCAUCGUUUAUCCGAUGUGCCUGAUGGCGUGCCGCUUGCGACCACUUGAACCUUUGGUUCAAGAUGUGAGCCGGGACGGCGCCCGCGGGGAUCCC